rnacentral:rRNA from 1 species
UACGUAGGGUGCGAGCGUUAAUCGGAAUUACUGGGCGUAAAGUGUGCGCAGGCGGCAGAGCAAGUCGAGUGUGAAAUCCCCGGGCUUAACUUGGGAAUUGCGCUCGAAACUACUUUGCUGGAGUGUGGCAGAGGAAGGUGGAAUUCCACGUGUAGCGGUGAAAUGCGUAGAGAUGUGGAGGAACACCAAUGGCGAAGGCAGCCUUCUGGGCCAACACUGACGCUCAUGAACGAAAGCGUGGGGAGCAAACAGG